GCUACAGCGGGUGCUUACAUUGCCUCCCAGAUGGUGAAGAAGGUGAUAGAGAUCAACCCAUACCUGCUAGGCACCAUGGCUGGGGGCGCAGCAGAUUGCAGCUUCUGGG
rnacentral:miRNA from 1 species